UCUUGCUUCGGCAGAACAUAUACCUACUAAAAUUGGAGCGAUACAGAGAGGAUUAGCAUGGCCCCUGCUCAAGGAUGACACUCAAAAUCGUCAAGCGUUUUUAAGAUUA